rnacentral:rRNA from 1 species
UACGUAGGGUGCAAGCGUUGUCCGGAAUUAUUGGGACGUAAGAGCUCGUAGGCGGUUUGUCGCGUCUGCUGUGAAAACCCGAGGCUCAACCUCGGGCCUGCAGUGGGUACGGGCAGACUAGAGUGCGGUAGGGGAGGAUUGGAAUUCCUGGUGUAGCGGUGGAAUGCGCAGAUAUCAGGAGGAACACCGAUGGCGAAGGCAGGUCGUCUGGCCACUACUGACGCUGAGAGACGAAAGCAUGGGGAGCGAAACAGG